GAUGAACGCUGGCGGCGUGCUUAACACAUGCAAGUCGAACGAAGCACUCUAUUUGAUUUUCUUCGGAAAUGAAGAUUUUGUGACUGAGUGGCGGACGGGUGAGUAACGCGUGGGUAACCUGCCUCAUACAGGGGGAUAACAGUUAGAAACGACUGCUAAUACCGCAUAAGCGCACAGGAUUGCAUGAUCCGGUGUGAAAAACUCCGGUGGUAUGGGAUGGACCCGCGUCUGAUUAGCCAGUUGGCAGGGUAACGGCCUACCAAAGCGACGAUCAGUAGCCAACCUGAGAGGGUGACCGGCCACAUUGGGACUGAGACACGGCCCAAACUCCUACGGGAGGCAGCAGUGGGGAAUAUUGCACAAUGGGAGAAACCCUGAUGCAGCGACGCCGCGUGAGCGAAGAAGUAUUUCGGUAUGUAAAGCUCUAUCAGCAGGGAAGAAGAAUGACGGUACCUGACUAAGAAGCACCGGCUAAAUACGUGCCAGCAGCCGCGGUAAUACGUAUGGUGCAAGCGUUAUCCGGAUUUACUGGGUGUAAAGGGAGCGCAGGCGGUGCGGCAAGUCUGAUGUGAAAGCCCGGGGCUCAACCCCGGUACUGCAUUGGAAACUGUCGUACUAGAGUGUCGGAGGGGUAAGUGGAAUUCCUAGUGUAGCGGUGAAAUGCGUAGAUAUUAGGAGGAACACCAGUGGCGAAGGCGGCUUACUGGACGAUAACUGACGCUGAGGCUCGAAAGCGUGGGGAGCAAACAGGAUUAGAUACCCUGGUAGUCCACGCCGUAAACGA
rnacentral:rRNA from 1 species